AAUCAAUAGGCCUUUGAGAGAGUGCAACGCAGGGCAAUGAACUCGACAGUCAAAAUGGCGCCCGGCAGGAUGUCGGGAAACAAUACGUAACACUACGUAAUGAUCAGUUUGACGAGAUACGGUGAAGGAUGGUAGUCAAGACAUGCCAACACUCCGCGUCACGUAGCUUUCUGCAACUCUUAUCUUUCAAGUUCUUGCACAGCGCCCUCAUUAUGCAACUUUUCUGAAACUAACGGUUGCUUUUAUUGACAUGACAACAGAUUUAUAGGCGGAAUGCGGAUUCAUCAAUUACAGCUUAGCCCUGAACUUAGGCGGUCUUGGCAAUAGUGAUCGAAAAGAUAUAUUUUAUGGCCGAUUUUUGAGGUACAGCUGUCCAGCUCUUUUGGAUCCAGUGGGCAUUCUGACCUCAGCAAGAUCUCCUACCGCUGACAAAGAUGAAAGACGCCUUCCAAUUGGUCUAACAAAAGUCAACCCGACAUGUGCGUUCAGUUGAAGAUGUUUCUUGGCAACAAAAAAUUUGCCUGUCGUAUACAAUUGUUGACCUUUACCCCGGGCCGUGACACCGCCACACAAAAGAUAGGUAUAUAACUUGAUACAUAAUGUAAACAAGUGGACUAGACAAUCGACUGUUUCGAUGACCUUAAUUAGUGCGCACCUGCGUGGUUUUGGCCGCUCGCGGGUCUGCUUUGGACAAAGCGUUGGACAAGCUUACGUAGAUUCUCA